rfam:Candidatus Brocadia caroliniensis isolate 26THWARD NODE_121_length_10067_cov_21.7321_ID_241, whole genome shotgun sequence.
UUGUGGGUGGAAGUCGCGUCACGGUAAAAGCCAGAGCCAUGCCUGCCUGUUGGCAGACAGGUAGCAUGGAUGGCAGGGGGUGAUGGAAACGUUACCUUCUGAAGCCCAUCGACAAGGUCUGCAAUAAAGCAGGCAAGCAACUAUCCGGGUUGUAACGAAC